UUAAGUUCAGCGGGUAGUCCUACCUGAUUUGAGAUCAAACGGUCAAAAUCUGUCCUCGCUGGGGAGAGACACUUAUAAGCUCCGGUGAACCUUCAUCGCUGAGGGUUACCUGGUGUGGAAAACCACAAGCGUAGAUAGUUAUCACACCCGUGAUCCCACCAAACACCGGCAAGCUAAUUCAUUUGAGAGGAGCCGACCAC
rnacentral:misc_RNA from 1 species